CUAAAAAUAUUAUUUACUGUUCGACGCAAAUAUUUGUUGAUAUAUAGCUAGCUAACUAGCUAAACAACACUACCAGCUCCAAUCAAGCCGUUGUUUACACGUAUCUAGGUGUUAGCUAGCUUCCCAGCUAGCCAACUCUGGUUCCCUUUGUAGUUUGGUUGUUAUCUAUCUAGCCACAAGCUCAUAUAGGCUCGGCUAACGUUGUAGUGUAGCUUGUUAGCUAACUAUUUUCCUAGAGGUAGCAGUUACAUAAGCAGACAUUGCAUUAACGUUCUCCUGGCAGCAGGAUCGCAGAAUUAUCUUUCAAAAUAAUAGGCCCACUACAAAGACAUCCUACACUUUGGGAAGGUAGAUAUUUUUUGUCACUCCGGUGCGGUACAACUGUUUUUCAUAGCAUUGCAACCACCCUUGAAAAAAAUAAAUGGAUAAUUUGACGUACUUUUAAUAUUCAUAAAAAAUAUUUAUUUAGAAGGUUUACACCAAUACUGAUGUCUUGAAAGCUAUUGUUUAGUAGACUAUAUGUAAAGAAAUACACUUUUAAUCAAAUACAAAUAUAUUGUAAUGAAACAGGCAGGGAGCAGGUCUCGAACCCUCGACCUUCGAGCCCCGGCGCGCUAUCGACUGUGCCUAAAAAGCAUGCUCGUGCGGCAGGGUCGAUUUCCGCGCUUAUAAACCCAGGGUCGUUACAAUAUGUAAUUGGAAUUAUUCAAUAGUCUACAAAUUUGAAAUUGGUCUAUUGUGCAAGGACAACUGGUUUAAUACAGUGCUAGUGACUCCUUACUCCACCCACUCCAUAAUAAAUACAUAUUGGCUUAUAGUAAAAAAACUAUUAUUUGUGCCGAUGUAAAUGUGGGUUGGGAGUACUCAGUAGGGUCUGUAGAGUUAUAUGAUGUCAUUUUAUGGGGCACUGAAUAAUACGGAGUGCUGCUACAGCAGAACAGAUAGAACAAUGAGACAGAUAUUUCCCCGGAUGUAUAAAGGUGAAGCGUCGUGAGAGGAAGCCCAGUGGCCGGCAGUGGGGAAAGAUGGAACCAGAUGGAUUAUGGCCAACAUUAUACUAAUUUUCUCAUCAAUGAAACAUUUGAUCUCAAAGUUCUCCUUUCCCAAAACUAGAAUAUGUUACGAACAGAGUGGACAAUGUUUUGUAGACUUUACUCUUUGCCAAAGUAAAAAAAAAAAAAGAAGGCAUUGUUCAGAAGGAGCGCAAAGGCGAAUUGAGUUAUUGCACAAGCGCACUUCACAGAGUAGACAUUCCCUAACGGAAAUAUGCAAAUGUAUGUUCGAACGGACAAGUAGGAUCUCGCUAGCUCGUGCUUGGCUCUGCCCUCAUCAUUCCUUGUUCUGUCCACUAUGACUCACUUGUUCCCAUUGGAAGACAGGCUGUGGUCUAUCUUGGGUUAGUUAUCGAAAUCUUUGGCUGCAGUGUAGCCAUCUGAGGCUAAACUGCAGGCGGCAGGGUAGCCUAGUGGUAGAGCAUUGGACUAGUAACCGAAAGGUUGCAAGUUCAAAUCCCCGAGCUGACAAGGUACAAAAUCUGUUGUUCUGCCCCUGAACAGGCAGUUAACCCACUGUUCCUAGGACGUCAUUGAAAAUAAGAAUUUGUUCUUAACUGACUUGCCUAGUAAAAUAAAGGUAAAAUAAAAAUUAGCAUGUUCUAUUUGUAUGUUAAUUGUUUUGGUAGUUCCUGUCACGCCAAACUUGAUUCCUCACCAUCAUUUGGGUGUGGUGAGACCUUCUCCAAGUGAAUGACUUCAUAUCACAAUCUGUUUGGAUUUAUUCCAUUUAAUCUAAAUCUUACACAGUUCACAGAUAGGGUCUUUCAGGAGGUGUGUUUUGGUCUAAAAUGUCCACUUUCAUCUUCUCAUGUAAAAAGCAUGUCAAACAUCCUUCCUCCCGAUGAAAUUUCUAUGUGAGAAUUACCAGAACAAUGUGAGAUACUAAAAAUAUUUGAGUUUAUAUGUAUUUGGCUAAGGUGUAUGUAAACUUCCGACUUCCAACUGUAGCCGCAAAACAUGGUUAAAACUAUAACUUUGAUAUCAUGGAUGGUUAGUCAUUGCAUCCAUAGCUCUGUCUAUGAAUUUGAGUGGUACAUUUCUCCAGCACCAUCCCUCAGCUUUUUACUGAAACAAGUGUUUCUACUUAUGAUUGUUGCUUAAAAUAAGACAGGAUUUCUAAUAAGACAAAGGCAAAGUAAUAGUAACUUGUAUUUUCUCACAAAUGACCAUUGGGAGACAUGGGCUGUAUGAUCCAUGAGUUUAGGCAUUUGUUAGUGAGCACAUAUUUUAUGAGGAGGCAAAUAAAAUGUUCACACAAUCGCCAAAAAACAACACAGAUUCCUGUGACUUUCAAUCCAGAACCCAAAGCCCUAGGGGCAAACUAUUUAUUUGUCAGGCCAAGCAAUUGUCCUGAUGCACAUUUUUGGCACAUGUUAAGGCUGGCCUUGGGCUGAUUUAAAUGUAUAAAGCCAAGAUGCAGCCUGCUCAUCAGCAUUAGGUUAAUCUAGGUUGUUAAGAGGUAUGCCAGUCCAUCAUUGUUUUCAUUGUGUCUUUGAAGCAGUUGGCUUCUCAACUAAUCACCUACUUAUAAUCAGUACUUGGCACCUCAGUUAGGCCAUGGCAAGUGUGCAUGGAAGUCUGUAGCAUGGAAUGGCAUUUUAUUACACACUGGAAGUGAACAGGGUAAGCUAAAAAAGUACUCCCAACACCACAUUUACAUCAGCGCAAAUAAUAUUUAUUUAUUUGUGUUUUUAUAUAAGCCAAUAUAUAGUUCAAAUACAGUGAUUUGCUUUGUCUAUCAAAUGGGUGUAGUAAAAGGCCAGCAACACUCCGUAUUAUUCACUGCCCCAUGAAAUUACACCGUAUAUAGAUUGUACAGACCCUACUGAGUACCCAACCCCUCUUUUACAUCGGCACAAAUAAUAGAUUUUUCACUAUAAGCCAAAAUGUAUUUAAUAUACAGUGAUUUGUGUUGUGGCCUAUGGAAUGAGUGUAGUAAAAGGUCAGCAAUACUCUGUAUUAUUUAGUGCCCUCAUGAAAUGACACUAUAAAGUAUUCACACCCCUUGACUUUUUCCACAUUUUGUUGUUACAAAAUUGUAUUAAUUGUAAUUCUCUGUCAGCAAUCUACACAAAAUACUCUGUAAUGUCAAAGUGGAAAAAUUCUAACACUUGUAAAACAAAAUCAUGAAAAAUAAAACACUAAUAUAUCUUGAUUAGAUAGGUAUUCAACCCAGAGUCAAUACAUGUUAGAAUCAACUUUGGCAGCGAUUACAGUUUUUAGUCUUUCUGGGUAAGUCUCUUAAGAGCUUUCCACACCUGGAUUGUGCAACAUUUUUCCAUUCCUUUCAAAAUUCUUCAAGCUGGUUGUUGAUCAUUGCUAGACAACCAUUUUCAGGUCUUGCCAUAUAUUCUCAAGCAGAUUUAAGACAAAACUGUAACUCGGCCACACAACAUUCACACGGUAAACAACUCCAGUGUAGAUUUGGCCUUGUGUUUUAGGUUAUCGUCCUGCUGAAAGGUGAAUUAAUCUCCCAGUGUCUAGUGGAAAGCAGACUGAACCAGGUUUUCCUCAAAGAUUUUGCCUGUGCUUAACCCCAUCCCGUUUCUUUUUUAUCCUGAAAAACUCCCCAGUCCUUAUUAACGAUUACAAUUGGGCUCCCAAGUGGCGCAGCGGUCUAAGGCACUGCAUCUCGGUGCUAGAGGCGUCACUACAGACUAGAGGUCGACCGAUUAUGAUUUUUCAACGCCGAUACCGAUUAUUGGAGGACCAACAAAGCCGAUACCGAUUAAUCGGCCAAAUGUUUUUUUCUUUGUAAUAAUGACAAUUACAACAAUACUGAAUGAACACUUAUUUUAACUUAAUAUAAUACAUCAAUAAAAUCAAUUUAGCCUCAAGUAAAUAAUGAAACAUGUUCAAUUUGGUUUAAAUAAUGCAAAAACAGUGUUGGAGAAGAAAGUAAAAGUGCAAUAUGUGCUAUGUAAGAAAGCUAACGUUUCAGUUCCUUGCUCAGAACAUGAGAACAUAUGAAAGCUGGUGGUUCCUUUUAACAUGAGUCUUCAAUAUUCCCAGGUAAGAAGUUUUAGGUUGUAGUUAUUAUAGGAAUUAUAGGACUAUUUCCCUCUAUACCGUUUGUAUUUCAUUAACCUCUGACUAUUGGAUGUUCUUAUAGGCACUUUAGUAUUGCCAGUGUAACAGUAUAGCUUCCGUCCCUCUCCUCGCUCCUCCCUGGGCUCGAACCAGCAACACAACGACAACAGCCACCAUCGAAGCAGCGUUACCCAUGCAGAGCAAGGGGAACAACUACUAGAGGGCUCAGAGUUCUAAAUACACACUGAUGGAAGGAAUGAAAAUGGAUACCACUCACAAUAUAACUCCCCAUCAAACAAGACACACAAGGUGUUCCUGACUUUAUCUGAAUGAUGUGACAUGAAUGAACAAAAUAGCUUUUUAUAGCUGCACUCGAACAAACAUCCAACUUGAGUUGCUAAUAUAACUUGUUAAUUAAAGGGAACUUUUGAACAAUCCUAGAAUAUGUACAAUCUGUACAUCUUAAAGUAGAUUUCCCUGACGUUGAAGGGGAAUGCAGACUUGUCACCCAUAGACUGCAUGCGAGUGUGAUGCCCAGGCGAAGCUUGCCGCUGCAGGGCCGGAUGCGCUGGAUGCUCCUGGGGCUCUUCCUGUUGCUGGUCCUCCUCCUCUUUGCUUACCUGCUGGAGUGCACUCCCCCAGCUGAUGUUAGCCUGGUCCUGCCUGGCCUGGGAGGGGAGUCCCAUGGAAAGGAGUACUACCAGGCACUGCUGCAAGAACAGGAGGAGCGGUACCUCAGCCGCUCCGCCAGCCUCAAGCGGCAGAUCGCCCAACUCAAGCAGGAGCUCCAGGAGAUGAGUGAGAAACUCAAGGUCCUGCAGGACAGAAAGGAAGGUCCCGGGGUCCAGGGGCUUGUUGAAACCAAGGACCAGGAGCCUGGGGAUCUUCUCGAAUUCCUCCACUCCCAGAUCGACAAAGCCGAGGUGAACACGGGAGCACGACUGCCCAGCGAGUACGCCCUGGUCCCCUUCGAGAGCUUCACCUCUAGUAAGGUGUAUCAGCUGGAGAUGGGGCUGACCAGGCACCCAGAGGAGAAGCCUGUGCGGAAGGACCGCAGGGAUGAGCUGGUGGAGGUCAUUGAGGCAGCCCUGGACGUCAUAAACAACCCAGAUGAGGAGGAUGGCCAGGAGGAUGAUGUGCCCAUGCAGAGGCAGACCUACACCGAGAGCCACUUUACUGAGGGGCUGUACAGAACAGAACGGGACAAGGGCACACUCUACGAGCUCUUCUUUGCAAAAGAGGACUCCGACAACUUCCGCCAUGUCACUCUUUUCCGUCCUUUUGGUCCUUUAAUGAAAGUCAGAAGCACGUCUGUAGAAACAACUGGAGUCAUCAUUAAUAUCAUUGUGCCGUUGGCAGGCAGAACAGAGGCAUUCUCACAGUUCCUACACAACUUCAGGGAAGUGUGCAUAGAACAUGAUAGGCGAGUGCAUCUUACAGUGGUCUACUUUGGACAAGAGGGCUUACAAGAGGUGAAGUCUUACUUGGAAAAAAUGUCCAGGGAGGCAAGCUUUUCCAACUACACACUUAUCCCAGUGGACGAGGAGUUUUCCAGAGGCAGGGGUCUGGACAUCGGUGCCCAUACCUGGAAGAAGGGUGACGUAUUGAUGUUCUUCUGUGAUGUGGAUAUCUACUUCACACUGGACUAUCUCAACACCUGCCGUCUUCACACCGCUCCAAACAAGAGAGUCUUUUAUCCGGUGGUUUUCAGUUUGUAUAAUCCUGCCAUAGUCUAUGGAAAUCUGGAGCUGGCUCCCCCCAUUGAAAGUCAACUUGACUAUGACCCAAAACGCACCUCCAAGCUGUGUAAGGGCUAUUUGACCAAGAAGGAGAGUGAUGGAGUGCUGCAUCAGAUGACCUCAACCCAAUUGAGAUGGAUUGGGAUGAGUUGGACCACAGAGUGAAGGAAAAGCAGCCAACAAGUGUUCAGCAUAUGUGGGAGCUCCUUUAAGACGGUUGGAAAAGCAUUCCAGAUUCACAAGAAAGAUGCUGGAUUCUGGAGAGAUUUUGGCUUUGGAAUGACAUGUCAGUACCGCUCGGACUUCCUCAAUAUAGG